rnacentral:lncRNA from 1 species
UGAAUGUUUACUAUAAUUUGAGCAAAGGUAAGGUGAAUAGAGGCAUGUAUUUAAGAGAGUGGAUGGGGAGUUUUCAAUAUGAAGGAGGCCAUUUGGGAGUGCAAUACUAAAUCUAAAUACUCAGAUUUGGUUCUGAGUUUCCUGGAGGUAAGUUGAAAAUGGAAACACUGAAUUAGUAUUUGAAGUUUAUCAUAAAAACUUCAUCCAAACAUUAUACUUAAUUAAAAAAUGUCAGCUAUAUUAUAAUGGACAGUGUCUUCAAUAACACUUAUAAAAGAUAUGGGACAAUUCUUGAUAGAGUUCAUAUUAAAUCUUGGUUCUGUCUGAAUCAGCAUUUCUUUGGGAACCUAGAGCACGAGGGUUCAGUUAUGUUGUUGUAACAUGAUUUGAUUCAGGAUAGAGUUUAAAGUCUUUAAAGCAAUUGUUCUCAAGGGUGCCUGGGUGGCUCAGUCGGUUAAGUGUCCGACUCUUGAUUUUAGCUCAGGUCAUUAUCUCACAGCUUGUGAGAUCGGGCCCCACAUUGGGCUCUGUGCCAACAAUGUGGAGCCUGCUUGGGAUUCUGUCUCUCCCUCUCUGUCUGUUCCUCCCCUGCUCAUCUCUCUCUCUCAAAAAUUUAAAAAUGUUUAAAAAGCAAUUGUUCUCAAAUAUUAAUGUGAAAAUAAUUUACUACAAAGGUUUUUUUUUUCCUAAUGUAGAUCACUGUCCUCUCUCACCCUCAUCCUUCAAUCUAUAGGUCCAAGAUAGAGCCUAAGAGUCUGCAUUAUUAAUAAGCUCUGGUUGUGAUUCAGGUGGCCAGUGGGGCACAUCUGAAGCAACACCAACCUAGAAGAACAAAUUAUUCCUAUGCUCCUUAGCUUUGAUCUUCCCUUUGAAUAUAUAUUUUCUCAACUUGGUUUUGAUUAGCAGCCAAUAGCCUGAGAUUGAUUUUUCAGGGAAGACAGAGGAAAUGCAAAGGCUCUGGGUUGCUGAGAUUCAUAUACUUUAUUUAUCAGGCAUACAUGAAAUAACAAUGCUUAAUAAACUCAAACCUAGAGGAGUAAAGGGAGCCAUGAAAAAGACAGGAUAAGUGGAAGAGGAGAAGUCAUAAGGGCCACAUUGGAAACUCCAAAGCUAACCUUUGCUGCUUUGUCAUUUUCCAAGGCCCAGCCUUGUUUGGGUUCUGUGGUGCAUGGGGGAAUCUGUGCCUCACCUUGCUGUCUUUGCCUACAGUUUAUAUGAAGAUUUUCCUGGAAGUCCAUUCUGAAUCAGAGAGGUGGGGCUAAAUCGGGUGUCCAAUGGGGUUCUGUAGAUUCCCAAGGAUUCACAGUGGAAUUCAGGGACCCUGAACCUCCUGAAAUUAUACAUGAAUAUUUUGUGUGUAUAGGAAUAUGUGUAUUUUUGUGAAAGGAGGUUCCAAUUGCAACUUUCAUCAGUGCUCAAAGGGACCAUAAAUGACUGCAAAGAGUGAAAAACCACUGGGAGUCCCUGGCACAACCAAGGGUGCAUCAAGCUCUGUGUUCAUGUCGCAGUGCUCCAUCACAUUGCAGUCUAAGGUCAGUUAGCCGACAUCCUCCUUGGUGACAGCUAGGUCACUAAGUAUCUCUCCACAGGAGCACCCCUCCAUGCCCAAUCUGAGGAUUAUGGUAGCAAAGCUGUCAGGCUUAAUUUUGACAAAUUGUUUUGGGUAAUUAGUCCCUUUUAAUGGCUCGUGGAAAUAGUAAUUUUAGGUGACAAGAUUAUUAUAUGCUGCUUGUUAAUGGGUCCUCCAGGGUCAAGAAAACACCACUGGGAUUGCUAUGACCUGUUCUUUUCCAUCUUUGGCAUUCCCCUUGAAAGUAUCACAAAAGACGUUUAGUAAAGUCAGCUCCCACUCCGUGAAAAGUUCAGAGCAUGAGUUUCCUUUUAUCCUUUUGCCAAGUGAAGGAUUAGAGAAGGACUUUCAACUUUUCCCUGUUUCUGCCAGCCCAUGUCAGUCUUCACAGACUUGUUGAUCAUUAACUCGAAAAGCUGGGGAAGUUUCUAGCCCUUCCCUUUGCUUAUUUACCUGUUCAACCAAGUUGCUUUACAAGCGAGUGAGUUUUGAAUAAGUAGGGUAGGUCCUAGGUGAUAAAAUAUUUGACUCAGCUCAAGUUGAAUAUUUUCAUUGCUUCUCACUUCACUGAACAGGAAGGUCAGUUUGACCAGUAGGUCGGGGCAGGUCUGUGUAAUGGUUCAUCAUGUGUCUUCCCAGGGGAGCAGUGGAUGGAAAGGCAGAGAACUCUUCUCAGCACUUUAGGAGGCUGGGAAUUGACUGGCUAUUUACUAACUGUGUCAUUCUGGGCCAUUUAUUUGACCUCCUUAAGCCCUCAUUUCAUCAUCUGUCAAAAGGGGAUAAAAAUAAUAGCUAGCUCAUGGUACAGCCAUAAGGACUAAAUGAUAUCAUAAAUACCCAGCAUAUAACAAGAACUAAACCAAACAAAGAGCAUCUAUUAUCAUUAUGGCCCAUUUAUCCUUCCCAAAUCCAGAUCUUAUUAAGAAGUUUGAAAUAGUGGAGAAGUAAAAAAAGUAUUAUAUUCACACCCAACUUUAUCUCCAUGCCUUCCAAGCUUGUUAAUGUAGGCACAUCUAAUCCUGUGUACACUGAAAUGUAUAAUGGUUUAAAAUGAUGCAGACACGGGGCACCUGACUGGCUUAGUCAGAGAGCAUGUGACUCUUGACCUUGGGGUCAUUGAGUCUGAGCCCCACAUUAGGUGUAGGACGUACUUUAAAAAUAAAAUAAGAUGAUGCAGGUGAGGAUAGACCAUCACUACAUUGCUAUCUACUUAAAGUAGGUAACAUUGAUGUCAAUGUGUGUAACCACAUUCCUUGAAAUCAAAGAUUUCAUGUGAAAGUGACCAUAAAGAAUUUGUGGGGACCCAAUUUUUCUCUCUCGUUCUUCUUGGUGGAAAAAACCACAGACCCCACCUGCAUGGUGAUUUUUCAAAACUGAGUUUCAUUUUUUUUAAGGUGUUUGUUCUUCUCCCCUGGCUUCAUGUCUAAAGAUUUCAUUCCUAUUCUUCAGCCACUCAAUUUUAAUAAAUUUGCUCCUUCACGGAGCUGGUUCUUAAGUUUACGCAUUUUAUUUCAUAUUUUCCUUCUCAAAUUUCAUAAGGAUCAGUAAUCACGUUUAUUGGUGUUUCCUGAGGUCUGUGUUCAUACCUCUUCUGUAUUUACUCUGCUCUUUACCAAGGGCUACAGCAGGCAAACUCAAACAUUGCACCCCAGAGUAAAAUGUCAUCUCAGGAGUAAUGACUAGCUCUCCACUUCUACCCUCCUGUAAGAAGAUCCUUCUCUAAGAACCGGCAAUAGGAUAGAAAGCUGGAGCUUUGUGUGUCUAGAAUGAAAAAGAUCACCCCGUGUUCUUCUCCUGAACACAAACCUUUCCUGAACCUUACAAAGGAAAAAGGAGAGUACUUAAAACUAUCUCAGUUAAUUUAUUUAGAUGGGGUGUUUGCUGGAGUCCACAGAACUAUGAAUUAUAUGGAAGGCUAGAAGGUUCUGUGGGUUGUAUCUACAUAACAGGGAAAAUAACACAAAGUACAUAUGCUAGGGAGAUGAGAGUGUUUGUCUGAUGUUUCUGUACAAAAGAUAAACCCAUUUGUCCAGUAGAAGUGCUACCUGCUCUUCCAAUUGCUGUGGUGUGUGACAUGUCUUGACAGACUUAAAUGUGACCAGAUCAGCUUGCCCCAUGGUGUUUUAGCAGAGUAAUGGCAACAGCCUCAGCCCCUAAUCUCCAGCUUCAUCAGACAGCAGCUUAGAUUUCAGGACCAGAUGUUAUAACUAUGCAGCCUGAUCCUUCCCUGCAAGUUUGGGUAGUUCAAACUGCAGUGUUAAAGUCAUAUAUUAUUUGUGACAUUUCUAUAUAGGUCUCAUCAUGUGCUAAAAUCGUAAUAGAGUGGUUUUAUAAAACCCCUUUCUGUUGAAAAUUGAAUUUAUUGUAAAAGAAUUUAAUACUCACAUUAAAUUGAAUUCAAACUUCAUCUUGGAAUAAGUUAACUGAGUUAGUCUAAUAAUUAAAAAUUCAAAACUCCUGGAUUGUAACAUUUGGAGUUUCAUAUGCAGCAUUAAUUAAGCUCACAUCAAAAUAGAUUAGCCACUUGUAGAUACAGUUACCAGUCACUCUGUUUCUGAAACCAAUCCAGAAAUGUUGGAACAUUGUCAGGCACUUACUAGGUGUUGGACAAGUGACAGAAAUUGAUCAUGCACAUUUAGAAUAUUUACAGGAAAAAAAAAAUGUCAAUGUAAUGUAGGUCUAUAGCGAAAGCUACCCUUCAGGAAAUGUGAUCACACUUCUUUUCUGCCCCCCACCCAACCCCCUGCCCCUCCUGCAUGAUUUCAGUACACCACAGAAUAGGAUUAGAGGCUUAUGUUUGCCUAUGUUUGCGAUUUUAUCAUGGAAUAGAAUGACUCUAGACCACACAUUUAUAUGAAGAUGAAAACCCCAGGUAAUGCAGAGAAUGAUCCUCAUUUUUUUUUCAGAACUCACAAAUGACUAAAUUGUCUUCCAGUAAUUUUCUUUUCUUUUGAGAAAAUGUGUUUCAAGGAGGCUAUAUUUUUAAAUCUCAUUUCAAUAUUAACUUGAUUGAAUAGGCUGAGGAAUUAGUAACAACUGAGUUUAGACUUGAGUUCAAGAUGUUAGGGGCGCCUGGGUGACUCAAUCGGUUAAGCAUCUGACUCUCGGUUUUGGCUCAGGUCGUGAUCCCAUGGUUGGUGGGUUAAAGCCCCAAGUAGGGCUUUGCACUGACAGUGUGGAGCCUGCUUGGGAUUCUCUCUCCUCCUUUCCCUCUGCCCCUCGGUCACUCUCAAAAAAUGAGUAAAUAAACAUUAAAAAAAAAGAUGUUAAAGUUGUCAUUUUGUGUGGCAAUGCUUUGUAUGAGGUGCUACCACCUGGGAAGUUUUUAAAGCCUACACACUUAGACGUUGGGAAGCGUGGAUGGAGGAUGGCUGACAUGCUUCUACAGUGUAUGUCGUGUACAGAUACUUAUAUGCUUGUGGUUCAAGUAAAGUUUAAUUCCAUAAUAAAGAUUAUUUGCAUCCUGAAACUAUUGCCUCAUGAGUGACAGAGUGGAGGCACAGGGUGGGCUUCUCUAUUGGUGGUCAACAUGGUCUAGCCUGGUUGAAUCUAAAGGGGUCUGCUCCUGCUCAGAAAAAGUUAUUCUCUUUUAUAUUUUUUUUGUAUUUUUUCUGUAUUUAUUUUUAAGAUUUUAUUUUUAAGUGGGGUGCCUGAGUGGCUCAGUUGGUGAAGCAGCCAACUCUUGAUUUCAGCUUGGGUCAUGAUCUUACGGUUCAGGAGUUCGAGCCCCACAUCAGGCUCUGUGCUCACAGCAUGGACCCUGCUUCAGAUCCUCUUUAUGGCCCUCUCCCACUAGCACUCUCUCUCUCUCUCAAAAAUAAAUAAAUGUUAAAAAAAAAAUUUUAAGAUUUUAUUUUUAAGUAAUCUCCACACCCAACAUGGGGCUUGAACUCACAACCCCAAUAUCAAGAGUCACUCGCUCUACCAGCUGAGGUAGCCAGCCAGGUGCCCCAAGGAUUUUCUCUUUUAAUCAGUGACAAUAAACAACAUCCUGUGAGGUGCAUCCAUUUGGGAACUUCUUCUGGCAGUUAGGUGUGCUUGGAGUGAGAUUCUUAAAGUACCCCCAUAAUUGACCAUCAAAUAUAAAGAUCGGAGCUAAAAGUAAUGUAGAAGAACACUGCAGUCACUAGUCAAGUUUUCACUUUGUUUCAUAAUUUUUUUAAACCAAGUGGAAUACUUUAUAAUUUUCUCCAUAAGCCUUCAGGUUGAACUUUUACCUGUCUGCUCCUGGGAAAUCUCCUUUAUUUUCCUUUUUACUGGAAGAAGGGGAGGUUAAGAAAGACAGAGAAGAAAGAACUAAUUGCAGUUAAUCCUCCUCUCAACCCCUGAUUGGGAGUGUGUGUAUGCCCACCCACCUAAGUCUGUAUAUGUGUUUUCCCCACUAGUAUUUCCUAUCUCAGAAAAUGGUAUCAGUUGAACAAGCAAGAGACCUGGGAAACCUCUUUGAUGAUUCUUUCUCCUUCCAAUCAAUCACCAUAUCCUAUUAAUUGAUUCUCCUAAAUGUUUCUCCAAUCUGUCCACUGCCUUCUGAAUCUUCAAACCGGAUUCCUCCGAGCCAACCUCGCCCUCAGCCUCCCACAGCGCCCUCUACUGCCUCCUCAAAGCAGUCACCACAGCUUGCAAUUAUGUUGUGAUUUGGGUCAUUAUUUAAUUAAUGUCUACUGCCUAGAUUAUAAGGUUCUCGAGGGCAAAGUGUGUACCUGUUUUAUUUACUGAUGUACCCUAAAAACCUAAAACAGUGCCUGUCACAUACUAGGUACUCAAAAAAUAUUUGUUAAAUGAAGAAUGAAUCUUCUUGAUAGCAUUUCCCUUAUAAACUCUCACUAAAAUGUCCCUAAUCUUUGCGAGACUCAUCCUUUCCUCUGUCAGUCCCUUGUCAGAUGGCUCCCCCGACUGUCCUUCUUAAUGCAUUUCACGUACUAUCAGUGUAGAGUUGUGAUGUCUAGAACCUCGUGUUUUCUCCUACAGCACAUGGCUUUCCUUGUCAAAACCAAACCCCAGAGUCAACUUUGGGAAGUUCUCCAAGCUUAGCUCCCUCUCAGCCCAUAAUAAUUUCCCUUCUUUUUCACUUAGAAUUGGGGUUGCACUAAGAAGAUACCGAUUUGUUCGCAUUCAUAUAUCGUGUUGAGAACAUUCAUCCUUUUUCAUGAAUUUGGGUUAUGACCACCCAGAUUGUCCUCACUUGAAAGGCCUGUGUGUCCCUUCUAUCCUUAGACUGUUAUGGAGUUUAGUCCUCUGUAGGCAGUCUUGGACUGUUCAACUAUGCCUGCCCUAUGCCUAGACACUGGCUUUUCACCUCACUUCUAAUUCCAUCUUUUCCACUCAUUUAAUCUUGCUUUCCUUGAACACUCUUCAAGAAACAGAAAGGCUUGCAAAAACUCUCUUCUGGUUAUUUCUAUGUAUGGGUGCUCAUGUGCAUUUUUUGAUAUGUUUGUUCCUCUGUUCAUUCGUUAUAAAUACAUAUCCCUCCUUCUUCCCAGAAAUAACUAGGAACAGUUUAUAAGGAUAAAUAAAGCAUAUCAAGAUAGUAUAGGUUAGAUAGAAUAAGUGGAAAAGAAAAGGGAAAAGUGAAGGGAAAGGGCAUCACUGACACAGAGCCUGGAACUGAUACUGGGUUGCAUAGAUGCAUCCCAUGUAGUCUAUGCAUUGGCAGAUGGCAGGCCCUAAUAUGGUUCUGGGCUGGCUAGCAUUGUUUCAUAAAUAGAAAAAUAUACAGUGUCUUUAAGAUAAGAUGUGAACUAAUAAUUAGGAGAAGAACAACUAGUCCCGAUUCUAAGAGAUCACAGUGUAGUGUAGCAAGGAGUGUGGGCCCCAUCGCAGAUGGCCUGGGUGUGGGUGUGCGGUGGGCAGUGGGUCAAUGCAUCUACUCCAGGUGGUUCUCAACACUACUGCACAUUUGGAUCACCAGGGAAGCCCUGAAAAAACACUAUUUGGGCCCCUUCUUCAGGCCAACAAAAUAAGAAUCUCCGGGAAUGGGACUGGAAAGCCCUAUCUAAAAAAUUUCCCCUGGUUAUUUGCAGGUGGGGUCAAGAGCCAAUGUUUAGAAGAAUGGAUAGACUAUGAGUAUGGCAAGGCAUUCCCCUGGGUGAACUUCUACAAGUUUUCAGAAUAUUGUUCCUCAAUGUCAGGAACAGUAUACAUAUUUUUUAAUUGAGGGAUAAUUGAUAGAUAAAAUUGUAUAUAUUUUAAGUAUACAGUGUGAUAGUUUGAUAUACAUGUACAUUGUGAAGUGAUUACCACAAUCAAGUGAAUUGACACCAUCCAUUACCUCAUAUAGUUCCCUUUUUUACACUAGUAGAGAUCUGGAAAAAUACCUAAGUGUCCAUUGAUGAAUGAAUAAAGAGAAUGUGGCAUAUGUACACAAUGGAAUAAAAAGAAGGAAAUCCUGCCAUUUGUGACAACAGCGAUGAGACUGGAUGGCAUUCUGUUAAGUAAAAUAAACAGACAAAAAAGACAAAUACUGUAUAGUAUUACUGAUAUAUGGAAUAAUUUUUAAAAAGUCAAACUCAUAGAAACAGAGAAUAGAAUGGUGGUUACCUGGAACUAGGGGUGGGGGAAAUGGGGAGAUGUUGGCUAAAUUGGUCAAAGGAUACAGACUUUUAGUUAUGAGAUGAAUACGUUCUGGGGAUUAUACAUGGUGAUUAUAUUUAAUAAUGUAAUAUUGUAUACUUGAAAUUUGCUAUAAGAGUAAAUCCUGAGGCGCCUGGGUGGCUCAGUUGGUUAGGCCUCGGGCUCUUAAUUUCAGCUCAGGUCAUGAUUUCAUAAUAUGUGAGAUCGAGCCCCACAUCGGGCUCUGCACUGACAGUGCAGAGCCUGCUUGGGAUUCUCUCCCUCCCUCUCUCUGCCCCUCUCCUGUUCAUGCUUGCUCUCACGCCCUCUCUCAAAAUAAAUAAACAAACAUUUUAAAAAAUAAUUUAAAAAAUAAAUUUUAAAAAGAGUAAGCCUUAAGUGUCCUCACCAAAGAAUACAUUUUUUAAAACAGGAAUUUUUGUAUCCCCUCCAAAGGUUAUAUGUUGAAGCUCUGAUCCUCAGUGUGGCUGUGUUUGGAGAUGGGGCCUAUAAGAAAUUAUUAAGGUACAGGAGAUCAUAGGGUGGAUCUCUGAUUCGAUAGGAUUAGUGUACUUAUGAGAUAGGACACCAGAGAGUUCACUUUCUUUCUCUGUGUGUACACACUCACUGAGGAAAGGCGACGUGAGGACACGGUGAGAAGUUGGCCAUCUGCUUACCAGAUAUGGAGUAGGCUGGAAUCUUGAUCUGGGACUUCUAGUUUCCAGAACUGUGAGAGAAUACAUUUCUGCUGCUUAAGCCACCUAGUAUUUUGUCAGCUUGAGCUUAUUAAGACAUAUAUUCUAUAGGUAUAUAUAUAUAUACACACAUAUGUAAUGAAUUUAUGUGUAUACAUCAUUUACUCUCACAAUAUACCAGGCACAGUGCAUGUGUGUUUGUGUGUGUGUGUGUGUAUGUAUGUGUGUAGUAUAUGAAAAUAUAUAUACAAAAAUAAAAAACAAAAAGCAAAACCACCUUACAUAGAUAGAUACAGAGAGAUAGAAAAAUACAUAAAAGCAAAUACAUAGGGGCACCUGGGUGGUUUAGUCGGUUAAGCAUCCGACUUUGACUCAGGUCAUGAUCUCGCAGUUCACCAGUCUGAGCCCCGGGUCAGGCUGUGUGCUGACAGCUCAGAGCCUGGAGCCUGCUUUGGAUUCUGGGUCUCCCUUUCUCUCUGUGCCCCUCCUCUGCUCGUGCUGUCUCUGUCUCUCAAAAAUGAAUAAACAUUAUUCUUUUAAUUAAAAAAAAGCAAAUACAUAGCUGUCAACUUAAUUUUGCCCAAAUAUUAUCCCUUAACCAAACUUUCAAAGUAAUAUGUAUAUAUUAUUCAACGUAAUUUACUAUAUGAGUUCAUUAACACCUAUGACUAGCUCUUGGGUUCCAUGUUUCACUUCUAAGAACCAACAAACUAAAUAAUUGACACAAUUAACAAUUGCUUAGUAAAACUGAAUCUUUGGUCCAAAUUACACAAAAUAACUUCUCCUGGCUUAUGUGUAUCUAGUUACAGAAUGUUAUUUAGUACUUUGUACCCUGUAUGUCCUUAACAAGGGCUAUAAACCAUCAAGCUCAGGAAUAUAUCAAAGUCAGUUUGAAUUUUAUUUCCAUCUCUGAGAAAUCUAACUCUUGGGGCACCUGAGUGGCUCAGUUGGUUGAGCGUCCAACUUUGGUUCAGUUAUGAUCUUGCAGUUCAAGAGUUCAAGCCCUGCAUUAGACUCUGUGCUGACAGCUCAGAGCCUGGAGCCUGCUUCAGAUUCUGUGUCUCCCUCUCUCUGCUCCUCUCCUGCCCGUUCUCUCCCUCUCUCAAAAAUAAAAAUAAACAUUUAAAAAUAUAACUCUUAACAUUUGGAACUCUUAAAAUCUCUAUGGGCCGGCUCUGCAGGAGAAGCCACAUUCACACAUACAUCCCCAAAUUUGCAUAUAACUUCCUGAGUCCAGACACCUUCCUGAGGCUGGUCAUGGCAGGAUAACUGUAUCCCUACCAAUGGCCAGACUUGGGUGUUGAUAGACCUUGACACAUUACUGUCCUCUCCAGGCUCUGGUAAUAGAUUCCCUCCUGCUCCCUCACAUCAGGGCUGGUAACAGCUAUUCCCAGCUGCACCAUCCUUUGAGCCACACUAUCCUUUGUUGUCCCUUUAAUCCUGACCACCUCUUUGUAAAUUCAGAGAAUUUACCCCUUCAGUAAUUCUCUCCGUUCUCCCAUUUAAUUGUGCCAUCCGAUUCCUGCUGGGGCCCAGUAUUACAACCUCCAAAAUACAUCUGGGGACCCAAAACCAUUAUGAAAGACACUGACUUAAGAAACUUCAUUCCAUGUGAAGAUCUUCCGAUUGCAAUUUUUAAAAAUUUUUUUAAUGUUUAUUUAUUUUUGAAAGAGAGAGCGUGCAAGCAUGGGAGGGGCAGAAAGAGAGAGGACGACACAGAAUUUGAAGCAGGCUCCAGGCUCUGAGCUGUCAGCACAGAGCCUGAUGCGGGGCUCAAACCCACGAGCCAUGAGAUCAUGACCUGAGCCGAAGUUGGACACUUGACCAACUGAGCCACCCUGGUGCCCCCGGAUUGCAAUUUUUUACUGCAGAAUAGAAGUUAGUAUUUUUCUUCUUAACUGGUAGGAUACUUUUUAAACAAUAAUCUUCUCUACAAGAAUGUUUAUUAUUACAUGUAAAAAUUCUCAUGGAAUUCUCCAGGGCUUGCAGCUUGAGAAACAUGGUGCUUGACUUAUUUUCCUAGCUGGCUGCUGGGCAUCACAUGUAGGAAAGAAUUGAAAGCCUGAAUUAAAGACAGAUAAAUGGCUUCUGUUGCUUGCCUCCCAGCUACAUGUCCCGUCAUCCUGUCAUGAAAGGAAAUUAAAAUGCUCUGACACAUACUGAGUUUCAUAAAGCCACGGUGUUCCUCUACAGGAUCCUGUGUGCCUGUGGAAGUCAAUACCACAAACAGGAUUUUUGAGGAUUUGAUCUACAAUCUUCAUUUCAGAAUUAGAGCAAAGUAAACAAAGAAAAAUAUUUCGUUAUUGGGGUCUCUCUCCCUUUUAAAAAAUAAAUGAACUUCAUAAAUGUUUUGUUCCUCAGUCCUUCAGGACUUUUUCUAUCUUCCAGGAAUCCUAAAAUAAUAGCCAGUGGCUCUGGCAUCUGAUGUCUCCCAAGAUAAAUAACUGAAAUACUUAUAAUUUGCAACCUGCUUCAUUAUUCACUCCUCAACCGUUCUCAUUUCUGGUUUGCCUUUUUUGCUCCCCCUAAAGAGGUAUCAUUCAAACCAGAAUGGAUUUAUGAUUUGUUUUUCUAAACACUGAGCAUCACAAUUUUCACUGGAAAACAAAAGCCCACAAUUAAACCACUUUUUUUCCCUGAAACCUUAUAAAAGUAACAUUUAAGUUAUGUUUAAGUAUAAAAUAAUUUUAAAAUCAUCAGGCAAACAACCUAGAAACCAAUAUUAUAUAUUUUGUAGAGAAUUACUCAAGAAUUAGCUACAGGGGCGCCUGGGUGUCUCAGUCCGUUAAGCGACCGACUUCGGCUCAGGUCAUGUUCUUGGGGUUCCUGAGUUUCAAGCCCUGCAUCAGGCACUGUGCCCCUCCCCUGCUCAUGCUCUCUGUCUCUCAAAAAUUAAUAAACGUUAAAGAAAAAAGAAUUAGCUACAAAAUGUAGUGAUUUAGGAUUGUACAUAUUUUUUCUAAAUUUCUAAAUUUUCUUGGAAAAGCCAUUACUGUCUACAGUAGCUUAAUCAUUACCAUCACGAAACACUGUGGGCAUUCCAGAGUUAGAGAAAUCAUCUGAGUAAUGUGAUUUUGCCCCAUGCCCUAUUAGAACACGAAGAAUAAAUUAUCUAACAUUUAGAUUCUUUUUAUUUGCAUAUCACUUCUUUCUUAUUGAAGAAAGAGAGUGUGUACACAAGCAGAAGAGAGGGGGACAAAGAGAGAGAGAAUCUCUCUCUUUUGAUCGUGAGGCUCCAUCUCAUGACCCUGGGAUCAUAAUCUGAGCCAAAAUCAAGAGUCGGACAUUCAACCAACUGAGCCACCCAGAUGCCUCUGCAUAUCACUUUAUCUUUCAUCUGAGUUUAAGGUCCUUUGCAUUCCCAUGUCUUCCCAACAUUGCAACCGACAAAAACCAAUGAAGAGGCAAACAAAAUGUUAUCUAUGUUCUACUUACUCUGGGUAAAUUAUCAGCUGUGGAAACCAGUCCACUACUCAGGUCUAUUUCUUACAUUUCAUUGCUCUAACUUCCCCUGUUUUCCACUGGACUCCAGAGGAGUUACCUGUUAUAGAACUGGUACCAUGAUUGAUUUAAAGUUGCAAUACCACAGACCUGCUCUAAGUAAAAAGCAAAUGAUGGACGAAAUAGAUUUAUAAGAACCUACUUUGUGCAAGUCACAGUGAUAGGUGUUGUGGGAGAACAAAAUACAGUAACUUCCCUAAGUAUAGCCUACUAAGUUUGCGGCACUAAGACAAAUGUGUACAUAGUUAUAAUUCAAAGGAUAAUCUGAGAGACUCCAAAAGAGAGGUAGAAAUAAAAGUGUUUUGAGGAGUCAACAGAGGGAAUGAUCAUAUGAAGCUGGAAGGAUGUGAAGGGGUUUCUUAGACAAGAUGGAUGUUUGAGAUGAGUUUUAUUUAAGGGCCAUAAUUUUGAAAGAGACUUUGGGGAGGGUGUUAUCAUUAAAAAUAAAAGCAUGAAAGAGGACAAAGAAGGAAAAUAUAGGACACAACCAGAAUAGUAGUGUCCUGUUUGGCUGGAUCUGGAAAGGUAACUUGGGGUUCUGUUAUAUUGGAUCCUACAAGUCAGGUUAAGGAGAUUGGGCUUUGAGCCUAGGCAAAGGGAGAUGAUCGAGAGGCAUAGAGCAGGACUGAUGAGGAGUCUUUUCGGGCUAAGUGGGAGGAGGGGGAGUACGAGAAAGAGAAGUACCAGUAACAAGAAACUGCGUCUGGGCAUGGAUGACCAAGACUUGACCGAUACAUUCCACAAUAUCCCAAGGUUGCAGGGAGGGCAGAGAUGGAUUAAAGACAAGCUGAGGCCCCCAAAGACAUCAUUUUCUUGUUAGACUAGUCAGGUCCCCUAUUGUGAAGGUCAGUGCCUUCAAAUUUUCACCUAAUAAGUUAAGCAGCUUACAUAUUUCAGAAUAAAAAUUCCCUUUUCAUGUGAAGAUGAUAUGUCUCCAAAGCCUUUCUUUUGCUAAAAGGCAAAAGAAAGUUCAAGCAUGAUGGAGCCAGAGUAACAGCUAUGGAAGAGAAUGGCAUCAAAAGGGCCGAUGAGGGAGAGAUGUCAGCCAUGGUCUUGGUAUCUGUGCAGAUAAAAUGUUUUCUGGUUUUGUGACUCAUAAAAAGUUAGUUUUCCCAGAAAGGAAAAAUGUAUAAAAUUCAAUAUAUUAAAAGUAAGGGUUCAAUGAAAUUCUGACACAUACUACAACAUGGAUAAACCUUGAAACAUAAUGCUACAUGAAAUAAGCCAGACACGAAAGGACAAAUACUGCAUGAUUCCUCUUAUCUGAGGUACCUAGAGUACCAAAUUUAUAGAGAAAGAGGGGGCGCCUGAGUGGCUCAGUCGGUUGCGCAUCUGACUUCGGCUCAGAUCAUGAUCUCGUGGUUCAUGAGUUCAAGCCGCACAUCAGGCUCUAUGCUGACAGCUCAGAGCCUGGAGCCUGCUUUGGAUUCUGUGUCUCCCUCCCUCUCUGCCCCUCCACCCCCCCCUCAAAAAUAAAUAAACAUUAAAAAAAUUAUAGAGAAAGAAAGUAGAACAGUGGCUACCAAGGCUGAGAGAAAGAAGACAGGAGAGUUAGUGUUUAAUGGGUACAGUUUCAGUUUGGGAUGAUGAAAAAUCUCUGAAGAUGUAUGAUGGUGAUGGUCUCACAAUAAAGUAAAUGUACAUGAUGCCACUGAAUUGGAUACUCAAAAAGGGUUACCAUGGUAUAUGUUAUGGCGUGUACAUUUUACUACGAUUUUUAAAGAGCAAUGGCUCAAUGAGGUCCAUAGUGUGGUUUUUAUAAAGCCAAAUUCUAAUUUACUGAUUUUUAGAGAGAAAGUUCACAUUAUGUGGCCUGAUAGAAUCAGGCUUGUAGGUUGGCCUUUCUACACAGGCCUCUGUUCCAAGAGAAGAGUUAUGGUCUCUAAGAAGUUAGCAUGGGGAGUUAGGAAUCAGAGCAAAGGAGUUGGGUAUGGUAAUGGCUACCAGGAGAGAGAUUAUUUUGCCUAAUGUUUUAAUCUCCAAUGUAGGAAGAUAGCUGCCAAGGAGGUUUGAAUCUUUGCAUUAGCCAGUCUGGGUACUCUUCCUCAAGAUAGCGUAGCAAACCAAGCUUAUCUUUCAAAGCACAGUUCAUCAUAGUCACAAAGGCAGUGAGAAAAUAUGACUAAUGCAUCAAUAGCUAUCAGAAAGAAUGAUUAAAUCUAAAACACUCACUAGAGAGAAGAGAAGAAGAGUGACAACAGGAAAUAUUUCUCCAGGAUCAAAGUCUGAUUUUAAAGUGAAAUGUUCCUGCAUCAACCUAAUAUGUGUUGCCCUUGGUAUAAAUGCUUUGGUGUCUCAAUGAGAGUAGAAGACCAAUUAAUAAAGUUAUUUAUCUUUUCAGGUUGACAUAGCACAUACGGACUCUGUAGGAUUGAGAUAUGCUACCAAAGAAGGAAAGAACCUGGUGUGAAGUAGAGGAAGGUGAUAAGAAAAAAAUAAAAGGAAAUACUGAGAAGGAAGAGAGACUGGUAAGGAAGGAAGAUAGUUGUGAAAUUAUAUUAUGUGAAGGAAGAAGUCUCCUGCGGUUCUGCAAGAUGGAGAGCUAGCAUACCUCAAAAGCACUGGAAACAUCUACGAAAGCUCCAUAAAAUAGUCUGGGAACAGAAUUAAAAUGUGCUUAAAAAAAAGAAAGGAAAGAAAAUUUAAAACUGGAGUGGUGAGGAGAAUAGAGAUUUGGAAUGGUGUUAGACUUUAUUAAGUUACUUGUGCAUAUUAAAAUAUAAAGGCUAUAUCGAAAGAAGGAAAAUAAAAUGCUGGAUUUCCAAAUAAUUAGAGGGGAAAAAAUAAAGGAAUAUCUGAUUAAUGUAAUAAAAAUAAAAAAAAGGAGAAAAAAAGAACAGAAAUCUCAUGGUAAAGGGAAUAGAAUGUAAGGUGACAGAAAUAAAUGUAACAGUAAUCACAGUAAAUAUAAAUCAACUCACCAGUUAAAAGGCAGAGGCUAUCAGAUUGAAAGGUAAAACAAAAUCCAGCUAGAUUCCAUUUAUGAGAGAACUUCUAAAAACAUAAUGACAUUGAAGGUUGACAUUAAAGCGACAGAAAAGAAUACCAGAUUUAUAUUUCCAAUAAGAUCGAGAACUAGGUAUAAAAAUCCCUCUGCCACCCCAGAACACUCAGAUCUGGACAAACCACUCAAAGAUACUUUAAAGUUUUGGGUUUUGUUUUUGUUUUAGUAAUCUCUAUGCCCAACAUAAGGCUUGAACUCGUGACCCCAAGAUCAUGAGUCCUAUGCUCUUCCAACAAAGCCAGCCAGGUGCCCCUCAAAGACACUUGAAAAUGUCUUAUUAUACUCACAAGAAAAUAGGGGAAACCCUUUGAAGACAGAAAAAGCAAAGAGAAAGCCCAGACCACAGAAGCAGAUGAACAAAAACACAGAAACUGAUGCUACCCCAGAUCAGGGGUCAACAACUACAGCCUGGGAGCCAAACUCAGCCUGCCUCCUGGGUUUGUAAAGUUUUAUUGGAACCUGGCGAGGCCCAGUGUUUACAUAUUGUCUGUCUCUGGCUUCUUUUGCACUGUAACAGCGGAACUAAGUCGUAUAGACGGAAAUCAUAUGACCCUCAAAGUGAAAAUAUUUAACUAUCUCUUUACAGAAAACGUUUGCAGGCCCUUGCUCCAGGGGUUCAAGAUAUGAGGAUUCAUGCCUGCUGGGUUUGGCAUAGGAUGAGGAGUGAAAACAGAAACCCAGGCCUUCAGUCUGUGCACAGUGAGGAAAGUUAAAUGGACACUUCUCCAAAAAAGUCAGACAACUGACAUGAGUCUACGUCUACGAAAUGAUGAGUUGAGGAUAAGGAAACCUGCCAGUUGCCCUGCUCUAGAUGGGAGUUACUCUGAAAUUGGCAGCCAUUGCUUAGACUGAACACUGCUUCAAAUGCCCCCCAUGAAAAGCAGCCCACUGGCUUAGAGGUCCACUUCAAGGGCACUUUCUCUGCACCUUCCAGCUUUACUCAAAAUGAGGUGUUAUCAACAUUUCCUCUCUGUUGUUUCUGUGCAUUUUUUC